ensembl:lncRNA
ACUGGGUACUGAGCCAGCAGAGGAGGGGGCCAGAGGGCAGGUUAAGCCUGGCAGGAUGGUAUGGCAGUGUGGUACCCUGGCGCCCUGGACUGCCCCUUUGGUGGCUAGAGGAGACAGACGCAAGCUAUGGACCUGCUGCUUCACAAACAGCCUGGCAUUUAUCAGGAGGAAGGCAUGUGCCUGGGCUGAGCCUCAGUUUCCCCAUCUGCCUUCCCCCUUGCCCAGGAGUAGCCAGGGCCAGGCUGAAUGAAAGAACACGACGUGGAUCUACCAUUGGCCCUUCCAGGGUGUGUAGUUCGCUCAGAGAUGAAGAGCAAGGGCAUUACCAGGAAGGGGAACAGCAUAAGCUAAGGCCUGCAGCCCCAGGCUCUACUUUCUCCAAGAAUUCUCCCAAGAUCGCCACCACCUGCCAACUUCUCACUUCCUUGAGUGGCUUUUAGCCUGAGUCUGUUCUACUGAAAGGAAUGGGACGGUGUGAAAUCAGGAUUUCUUCCUCUGUCCUUCCACAGGCCUGUGUUCCUCCCCUGCUAUGCCCUGAACUCCCUGAGGUGAUGAGUUUAUCAUAGGCUGAUCUUCUUCCUCCCCUAUCCCCUCAG